rnacentral:sRNA from 1 species
UUACUUUCUGCUUUAUAUUAUAGAUGAAUAUAUUUAAUUAUAUGUUCAUUGUCACAGGUGUGUGGCAGAAUAGUUCUUUUAUUUGUGUAAGCAUGGUAAAACGGUCUCUCACGGAUCAAGCUGUCAUUUAGCAGACCAUUGGGGACAGGGAUACCGGUGGGACAUGUAGCAGAGCCUUAUGUUUAUCUAGGGGAAAAUGUUGUGAUAAUAGUCUGGGUGAGAACAUGAUCAUUAGAUAAUUAAUUAGACAUAACUUUAGGGUCUAUAAAGACAGUAACAGUUAGAGCGAAACAAAUGGCAGACGAGUUAACCACAGCUUGGUGUUGGACCAAACCGAUGUUAGAAGUAGUCAAGUGCCAGUUGUUUUGUGACUGAUUGGAGACAGCAUUAUAGGUGCACAUUCUGUUAGAGAACUCGGGAAUUUAGGUGACGGUCAGAGACGGUAGACCUAUAUAUGGUGUAUCCUUGCCUGCUACGCAAGGGGAUAUCACUCUAGUAUUGAGCGGACUGUGACGUUGGGUUCCAGGAUCCGUGCAGAGACUAGAGAGAGAGAGAGAGAGAGAGAGACAAAGAAAAAU